rnacentral:rRNA from 1 species
GGGUUAGUAGGUUGGUCAUGCCUCUGGUAUGUACUGGUCUCACUGAUUCCUCCUUCCUGAUGAACCUUAAUGCCAUUUAUUUGGUGUCUUGGGGAAUUUGGACUGUUACUUUGAAAAAAUUAGAGUGUUUAAAGCAGGCUCACGCUUGAAUACAUUAGCAUGGAAUAACGAAAUAGGACGUUUGAUUUUAUUUUGUUGGUUUCUAGGAUCGACGUA